CAGUACAUAUACUGAAAAAGAAAAACUGGAAUGAUACGGAGAAGUUUAGCAUGACCCCUGGGCAAGCAUGACAUGCAAAUUCAUGAAGCAUUCCAUAUUAAA
ensembl:snRNA U6 U6 spliceosomal RNA